GACGAACGCUGGCGGCGUGCUUAACACAUGCAAGUCGAGCGGUAAGGCCCUUUCGGGGUACGACGAGCGGCGAACGGGUGAGUAACACGUGGGUGACCUGCCCUCCAGCUCUGGGAUAAGCCUGGGAAACCGGGUCUAAUACUGGAUAUGACUCCAUGACGCAUGUUGUGGGGUGGAAAGCCUUGUGCGGCUGAGGAUGGGCCCGCGGCCUAUCAGCUUGUUGGUGGGGUGAUGGCCUACCAAGGCGACGACGGGUAGCCGGCCUGAGAGGGCGACCGGCCACACUGGGACUGAGACACGGCCCAGACUCCUACGGGAGGCAGCAGUGGGGAAUCUUGCGCAAUGGGCGAAAGCCUGACGCAGCGACGCCGCGUGAGGGAUGAC
rnacentral:rRNA from 1 species